rnacentral:snoRNA from 1 species
UCCAUGUGUGUGUUUUUGCUUAACUGGACAAGGACUAAAAGUAGAUGUAAAAGCUAAAUCCUCUUUUGCAUCUCAGAACUCAUUGUUGAGUAUGUUUUGAUACAAAUAAAAAGUGAUAAA